rnacentral:lncRNA from 7 species
GCAUGUCGUCGCUGUGCAUGCUGGCCCGACGGGGGGCACGCACGGCCAAUCAAUUUACUGAUGCUAUUGGGGUGCAGAUGGCCAUAUAUUUUUUGUUCGGUCCGCGUCCCAUCUUGCUGGGAUCAUGUUUUAAAAAGCAAGUGGACGUGCAACAGAAUCCCUUCUCGACUCAACGUGUUUUUUUUAUUGGAUACUAUCUAUUUAUUACUAUUUUUACCUGAA